GUGUCAGCCGCCGCGGUAAUACGGAGGGUGCGAGCGUUAAUCGGAAUUACUGGGCGUAAAGCGUACGUAGGUGGCUUGAUAAGUCGAAUGUGAAAGCCCUGGGCUUAACCUGGGAACUGCAUCCGAAACUGUCUGGCUAGAGUAAGGGAGAGGGAAGUGGAAUUUCCGGUGUAGCGGUGAAAUGCGUAGAUAUCGGAAGGAACACCAGUGGCGAAGGCGACUUCCUGGCCCAUUACUGACACUGAGGUACGAAAGCGUGGGGAGCAAACAGGAUUAGAUACCCUGGUAGUCCACGCUGUAAACGAUGAGAACUAGAUGUUGGACGCAUCGGGCGUUCAGUGUCGCAGCUAACGCGUUAAGUUCUCCGCCUGGGGAGUACGGCCGCAAGGUUGAA
rnacentral:rRNA from 1 species